rnacentral:tRNA from 1 species
GGGCUGUUAGUUCAGAGGUAGAACGCCUGCCUUGCACGCAGGUAACAUCGGUUCGAUCCCGAUACGGUCCACCA